rnacentral:rRNA from 1 species
AUACGGAGGGUGCGAGCGUUACUCGGAAUCACUGGGCGUAAAGCGCGCGCAGGCGGUCUUUUAAGUUGGAUGUGAAAGCCUACGGCUCAACCGUAGAACUGCAUCCAAAACUAUUAGACUAGAGUGUGGGAGAGGAAGAUGGAAUUAGUUGUGUAGGGGUAAAAUCCGUAGAGAUAACUAGGAAUACCAAAAGCGAAGGCAAUCUUCUGGAACACUACUGACGCUGAGGCGCGAAAGCGUGGGGAGCAAACAGGAUUAGAUACCCGUGUAGUCC